rnacentral:rRNA from 1 species
GACAGAGGCCCCAAGCGUUAGGCGGAAUCACUGGGCUUAAAGCGUGUGUAGGCGGACGCCUAAGUGUCUUGUGAAAUCCCACGGCUCACCCGUGGAACUGCCCGGCAUACUGCGAUGCUAGAGUGUGGUAGGGGAGAGCGGAACUCCUGGUGGAGCGGUGAAAUGCGUAGAUAUCAGGAGGAACACCGGUGGCGAAGGCGGCUCUCUGGUCCACAACUGACGCUGAGGUGCGAAAGCUAGGGGAGCAAACGGG